rnacentral:tRNA from 1 species
GCCCCGGUAGCUCAGUGGAUAGAGCAGCAGCCUUCUAAGCUGUUGGUCGCCGGUUCGAUUCCAGCCCGGGGCACCA